GCCACGGAGCCUGCGGGAAAGGGGGCAUCCACGAGUGGCUUCUCCGCGUUGCACAGGUCAGGGCCUGGGACAGAUCGUUCUGAGAUACGGUCUUCAUGCUUAUCUUCCUCCUUCUGAUUUUUUUUUCUUUUUUGAGCCUCAAGAAUACUUCCUCCUACUCCACUUACAGAAGCAACAAUAUGAAAGAGAUUACUAUCUGUGAGGAAUUUACAGUAUAAUAGGGUCCUUGGCCCUGGAAAGUGCAUUCUAGGCCAGAUAGCUGUGCGCACACACACCACACCUAGUUGCCAGCUCUGAGUGGACGGUGUCUGAAAGAGCGGGCUGAUGUAGGUGGUCACUGAAGGGACCUCUCCAAAGGUCU